GGCUGGCAGGUUCAUCUUGCUCAACCAUAGUCACGAUUAACGGAAAAUGGCGUAUCAUAAAACAGGGCAACGGUGACCUUCCUUAUGCAUGUUGUUCUGUACAAUCCUCGAUCUUCAUUGGUCCCAAUAAAUGUUACUAAAUCAGGGGUACCUUGUUCUCUCUGGAAGAACAAACCAUUUUAUAUUGCCCAGACCCAUAUUCUAAUUUAACUCUCUCAAACCAUCGCUGUCAAUAAAUUCUAUGUGAAAUCGUUAUUGGAAUACGUGA